GAGGAGGAUCGACACACCACCUAUCACAGAAUCCAUCCACGCACCAGACAUCCAUCCAUCGCUUACAACAUUCAUCCACGCACCAGACAUCCAUCCAUCACAUCCCUUACAACAUCCAUCCACGCACCAGACAUCCAUUCAUCACGAAACCAUUCAUCGUUUACAACAUCCAUCAACCAAGCAGCCAUACAUCGAUCUACCAUGCACCAAGCACAUCCAUCAAGGAACAACUGAAGGCCGACGUCCGACAGGAGCACCCGACGCCUGGCCGCACGGAACGCCGGUCAGUUGAAGGACGCGGGCCGUUACGCCGACGUACACGCAGAGGAGAAGGACCAGCGUACACUCAUCUACACGCACGAAACUUCGGCGGCACCAGCGACAUGGACAACAAGCUGAUGUUCCUGAACGGUAAAAUCAUGAUCUAAUCUCUUGCAUGGACUUUAUAUUGCAUGCAUGCACAACCCGAUGGUGGCGCGGUGGAGCUCGAGGGACGCCGCUGAUGUCCACUUUGUCAAUACGGUGCCGCGGAGCUUGCCGGUACAACGCCCAUCGCCUUCCUGGUCAAGCCGGUGCCAUGAAGGACACGGGAGUGGAGGUCGUCAUCACCACGUCUACUUCAUCAUGAUGGGGUCGCGGAAGAGAGCGACAUCGAG
rnacentral:lncRNA from 1 species